GAUGAACGCUGGCGGCGUGCCUAAUACAUGCAAGUCGAGCGAACGGACGAGAAGCUUGCUUCGCUGAUGUUAGCGGCGGACGGGUGAGUAACACGUGGAUAACCUACCUAUAAGACUGGGAUAACUUCGGGAAACCGGAGCUAAUACCGGAUAAUAUUUUGAACCGCAUGGUUCAAAAGUGAAAGACGGUCUUGCUGUCACGUAUAGAUGGAUCCGCGCUGCAUUAGCUAGUUGGUAAGGUAACGGCUUACCAAGGCAACGAUGCAUAGCCGAACUGAGAGGGUGAUCGGCCACACUGGAACUGAGACACGGUCCAGACUCCUACGGGAGGCAGCAGUAGGGAAUCUUCCGCAAUGGGCGAAAGCCUGACGGAGCAACGCCGCGUGAGUGAUGAAGGUCUUCGGAUCGUAAAACUCUGUUAUUAGGGAAGAACAUAUGUGUAAGUAACUGUGCACAUCUUGACGGUACCUAAUCAGAAAGCCACGGCUAACUACGUG
rnacentral:rRNA from 1 species